GGUGAACGCUAGCGAUAGGCUUAACACAUGCAAGUCGAGGGGCAGCAUGGUCUUAGCUUGCUAAGACUGAUGGCGACCGGCGCACGGGUGCGUAACGCGUAUGCAACUUGCCUCACAGAGGGGGAUAACCCGUCGAAAGACGGACUAAUACCGCGUACACUUGGGAUAGGGCAUCCUGACCCAAGGAAAUGAAAUUCGCUGUGAGAUAGGCAUGCGUCCCAUUAGCUAGUUGGUGAGGUAACGGCUCACCAAGGCGACGAUGGGUAGGGGAACUGAGAGGUUGAACCCCCACACUGGUACUGAGACACGGACCAGACUCCUACGGGAGGCAGCAGUGAGGAAUAUUGGUCAAUGGGCGAGAGCCUGAACCAGCCAAGUCGCGUGAAGGAUGACUGUCUUAUGGAUUGUAAACUUCUUUUAUACGGGAAUAACAAGAGCCACGUGUGGCUCCCUGCAUGUACCGUAUGAAUAAGCAUCGGCUAACUCCGUG
rnacentral:rRNA from 1 species